AUCCAUACAAAUAAAUACAAAUUAUUGAAAGAUUUUUAUGGUUGGGAAUUAUAAAUUUUUUAAAUGGCUAAAUAAAGUCAUGGCUAUAAAUUCAUCAAAAUAAGCAAAUAAAAUGUUACAAAGUAAAAUAUUUUAUUCAACGGGUAAACAAUUACAUAAUAUGUAAAUAUAUAAUACAAAUUACAAUAACAUAGCAAUUUAAAUUUAAUUUUGAAUUUGAUAUUGAAUAUUGAAAAGAUCUAUUUUUGGCGGGAACCUAACUUACCUGUGGUAAUGAGUCUAGAAUUCAGUAAAACAGUAGAACACAUCUGUAUAUAUUUAGCCAUGAUAUUACUGUUGUCCACGUCUGUGCCAUUAACCUCACUUACAGUCAAAAAUAUAAUUGCCAAUCGUCAUGUUUAUUAUCUAAACUCGAUGUCCAUUUAAAAUUUGACGCUUCAUAAAUCUAUAAAAUCGGUCUAAGUAGUUGCCCCUCUUCUUAGCCUUAGCCCCACAAGAAGCCAAGAACCAUAGAUAUAAGAGUCACAUAGAUAAGUAGGUAUAAUAUUGGAUAACAGCAACCAUGGUUAGGUUUCCUACAACAGUGCUAGCAACUAACAACUUACGUACCUAGGUCAGUGGCGCAACCAAGGGGGUAGACUCCUGGUCAGACCGUUUAAUUGCUGAUUUGAAAUUUUGAAUUUUCUGUUUAUAAUUUAUAAAUUUAAAUUUAAAAGUUUUAAAACAUACCUUAAAAAUACUAACUAGGAAAACAAAUUAAAUGGAUC